UCAUACAUGCAAGUCGAACGGGGUCCCCCCAGUGGCAACACUGAGGACCACCUAGUGGCGAACGGGUGAGUAACACGUGAGGAACCUAUCCCGGUCUCUGGAAUAACAAGUGGAAACACUUGGUAAUACCGGAUGGCGGCAUCACCUCUCCUGGGGAGAUGACGAAAGAUUUAUCGGAUCGGGCGGGCCUCGCGGCCUAUCAGCUAGUUGGUGGGGUAACGGCCUACCAAGGGAUCCACGGGUAGCUGGUCUGAGAGGAUGAUCAGCCACACUGGGACUGAGACACCGCCCCGACUCCUACGGGAGGCAGCAGUAGGGAAUCUUUUUUUUUUGGGCGAAAGCCCGACGCAGCAACGCCGCGUGCGGGAAGAAGGGUCUCGGGUUGUAAACCGCUUUCAGUAGGAACGAAUUUGACGGUACCUGCAGAAGAAGGUGCGGCCAACUACCUGCCAGCAGCGCGGGAA
rnacentral:rRNA from 1 species